rnacentral:rRNA from 1 species
UGGGGGAUUUUGCACAAUGGGCGCAAGCCUGAUGCAGCGACGCCGCGUGAGGGAUGAAGGCCUUCGGGUUGUAAACCUCUUUCGCUGGGUUGAAAGGCCAUGCUUUGGGUGUGGUUGAUUUGAACUGGUAAAGAAGUACCGGCUAACUACGUGCCAGCAGCCGCGGUAAUACGUAGGGUACUAGCGUUGUCCGGAUUUAUUGGGCGUAAAGGGCUUGUAGGUGGUUUGUCGCGUCUGUCGGGAAAUCCUGUGGCUUAACCAUUGGCUUGCGGUGGGUACGGGCAGGCUUGAGUGCGGUAGGGGGGACUGGAAUUCCUAGUGGAGCGGUGGAAUGCGCAGAUAUCAGGAGGAACGCCGGUGGCGAAGGCGGGUCUCUGGGCCGUUACUGACACUGAGGGGCGAAAGCGUGGGGAGCGAACAGG